rnacentral:rRNA from 1 species
GACGAACGCUGGCGGCGUGCUUAACACAUGCAAGUCGAACGGAAAGGCCCUGCUUUUGUGGGGUGCUCGAGUGGCGAACGGGUGAGUAACACGUGAGUAACCUGCCCUUGACUUCGGGAUAACUUCAGGAAACUGGGGCUAAUACCGGAUAGGAGCUCCUGCUGCAUGGUGGGGGUUGGAAAGUUUCGGCGGUUGGGGAUGGACUCGCGGCUUACCAGCUUGUUGGUGGGGUAGUGGCUUACCAAGGCUAUGACGGGUAGCCGGCCUGAGAGGGUGACCGGCCACAUUGGGACUGAGAUACGGCCCAGACUCCUACGGGAGGCAGCAGUGGGGAAUAUUGCACAAUGGGCGGAAGCCUGAUGCAGCAACGCCGCGUGCGGGAUGACGGCCUUCGGGUUGUAAACCGCUUUCGCCUGUGACGAAGCGUGAGUGACGGUAAUGGGUAAAGAAGCACCGGCUAACUACGUG